AGAUAAUACAGUUUUGUGUUUUUUUUUCUAAAGUUUGACCGUUCGUUUUAUUUGAAAAAAUUUAUGAUUAGUAUUUUUGUUGUUAUUAGAUGAUAAAAUAUAAAUAGUAAUUUAAACGUGUCUAAUUUUUGUUAAUUUUUUAUUUUAAAUAAAAUGAAUAGUUAAAUAUUAAAUACGGAAACUCAAGACUACAAUUAAA
rnacentral:pre_miRNA from 1 species